CAGCAGGCGCGAAAACUUUACAAUGCCGGCAACGGCGAUAAGGGAACCUCGAGUGCCAGGUUACAAAUCUGGCUGUCGUGAUGCCUAAAAAGCAUUGCAUAGCAAGGGCCGGGCAAGACCGGUGCCAGCCGCCGCGGUAACACCGGCGGCUCGAGUGGUAACCGUUAUUAUUGGGUCUAAAGGGUCUGUAGCCGGCCGGGUAAGUCUCUUGGGAAAUCUGGCAGCUUAACUGUCAGGCUUUCAGGAGAUACUGCCUGGCUCGAGGCCGGGAGAGGUGAGAGGUACUUCAGGGGUAGGGGUGAAAUCUUGUAAUCCUUGAAGGACCACCAGUGGCGAAGGCGUCUCACCAGAACGGACCUGACGGCAAGGGACGAAAGCUGGGGGCACGAACCGGAUUAGAUACCCGGGUAGUCCUAGCCGUAAACGAUACUCGCUAGGUGUCGGCCACGGUGCGACCGUGGUCGGUGCCGUAGGGAAGCCGUGAAGCGAGCCACCUGGGAAGUACGGCCGCAAGGCUGAAACUUAAAGGAAUUGGCGGGGGAGCACAAGGGNAAUUCGC
rnacentral:rRNA from 1 species